UGAGGAAUCUUAGACAAUGGGGGCAACCCUGAUCUAGCCAUGCCGCGUGUGUGAUGAAGGCCCUAGGGUCGUAAAGCACUUUCGCCAGGGAAGAUAAUGACGGUACCUGGUAAAGAAACCCCGGCUAACUCCGUGCCAGCAGCCGCGGUAAUACGGAGGGGGUUAGCGUUGUUCGGAAUUACUGGGCGUAAAGCGCGCGUAGGCGGAUCGGAAAGUUGGGGGUGAAAUCCCGGGGCUCAACCCCGGAACUGCCUCCAAAACUAUCGGUCUAGAGUUCGAGAGAGGUGAGUGGAACUCCGAGUGUAGAGGUGAAAUUCGUAGAUAUUCGGAAGAACACCAGUGGCGAAGGCGGCUCACUGGCUCGAUACUGACGCUGAGGUGCGAAAGUGUGGGGAGCAAACAGGAUUAGAUACCCCCGUAGUCC
rnacentral:rRNA from 1 species